CCUACGGGGGGCAGCAGUGGGGAAUCUUGCACAAUGGGGGAAACCCUGAUGCAGCGACGCCGCGUGAGCGAUGAAGCCCUUCGGGGUGUAAAGCUCUUUCGACAGGGACGAUAAUGACGGUACCUGGAGAAGAAGCUGCGGCUAACUACGUGCCAGCAGCCGCGGUAAUACGUAGGCAGCAAACGUUGUUCGGAGUUACUGGGCGUAAAGAGUGCGUAGGCGGUUCGCCAAGUUCGGUGUGAAAUCUCCCGGCUUAACUGGGAGGGUGCGCCGAAAACUGGCGGGCUUGAGUGUGGGAGAGGGAAGCGGAAUUCCUGGUGUAGCGGUGAAAUGCGUAGAUAUCAGGAGGAACACCGGUGGUGUAGACGGCUUCCUGGACCACAACUGACGCUGAGGCACGAAAGCGUGGGUAGCAAACAGGAUUAGAUACCCCGGUAGUC
rnacentral:rRNA from 1 species